GGAUCCUUGCCUAAAAAGAAGUAGUUCCGAUCCGCAAGGUAGGUUCCAACCCGGCCUAAUUCUCCUCUCCUGCUUGUUUGCAGGCCUGCGACGAUGACGGCUUCCCUCCGCGCGGCGGCGACGAGGAUCCUGCGUCCGGCGGGGCAGGGGCUUCGCCGGCUGGUCCACACCCAGCAGCAGCAAUCUAGAUCCACCGGUGCCUUGGAGGACGGACACCGUGCAGCGCAAAUCUAGCAGAAGAAGGAGGAGCUGUACGAUCUCAUCGCCCGCGCUCAGGCCAAGAAGGUCGGCAUAUUUUCCACGACUUCCGAGGGAGAUAGACAUUUGCUCCGGAUUCUCUGCACACAAAUCAAGCCGAGACCAAAUGACCCUCAAUGGCGCUGGAUAACUACCGCUAAGAAGGUGACCGCGCUGUGUUCCGCUGCGAUUGUUCUUGCUAUUGCUGCGUUCACUCUUCCUGACUUAGCUACUCGUCCUGAAUACAAGCCAAUGAAGUGAAAGAUGAAUGGUAUCUUGUUUGAUGGAGAAGCAAGACAAAUGUAUAUCAGUUCUAUUCCAGCACUAUAUAUUAUGUGUGACUCUGAAAAUAUAUGUCUAUGAUCUGUCACCUAUAACUUGAGUAUUCUUAUUUCUGGAUGAUUCAUGAUCGCAUUGUAAGAUAA